GACGUAGGGCGCGAGCGUUGUCCGGAUUUAUUGGGCGUAAAGAGCUCGUAGGCGGCUUGUCGCGUCGACUGUGAAAACCCGCGGCUCAACCGUGUGGCGGGCAGUUGAUACGGGCAGGCUAGAGUUCGGUAGGGGAGACUGGAAUUCCUGGUGUAGCGGUGAAAUGCGCAGAUAUCAGGAGGAACACCGGUGGCGAAGGCGGGUCACUGGCCCGGUACUGACGCUGAGGUGCGAAAGCGUGGGGAGCAAACAGG
rnacentral:rRNA from 1 species